ensembl:lncRNA
CGGGAACCUGCAGCGCCUGCGCACUGACAACACCCGCAGCCCGCCGGGUCUCUCUUGACUGUGCGCCUGCGCACCGAGGAUGGUGCCCAGUCAAUGCAAUCUUCCCUGCUGCUGGUCUCCAAAGUGGCUCCAGACACAAGGGGGCGUGAAUUGCCUCGCUGGCUCGGCCCACUCUUAAUUUACGUCUCCACAAAAACCACCAGCAACGAAGUUAAGCCUGUCCACUUCCUUUUCCCGGAGACACAGCUCCUUUGUUCCUGUGAUUACCUUCUUCAGGACUGGUACCCACUUCGUGAAUAGGAUCACAGCACCCUGGCCAGGGUCCCUUCUUGGGAAACAAGGAGGAGGCGUGGUAUGCAAGCAAAUAUAAUGAGGGCGCCAAGGGAGAGAUUGCCAUUCCUCAGAGGCCCAAUAGGAGAGAAUGGUGAACUGACCAAGGUAAUUUAUUUUGCUUUAAGACGACUCCGUUUUGCGUGCUUCACACACCUGCUCCUCGGCACUGCUGUGUUAUGUGUGUUACAGAGUUGGAGAGUUCCAGACGACUGGGAAAGAUCACUCGAUGAAAUCCAAUUAGCUGAAUUUUAUUAAGCUGGCCAGCUAACUGCACCCACCAGAUCUAGAUAAGAGACUGAAACCCAGGCUAAAAGGGAAGGGGGAGUUUUAAAGGCAAAACCACAAUUGGUUCAUUUAUGAGGAAUUUGUAGCUAUGUGAGAAAAUGCUUUUCUUCCACCUUGCAUACAACCAUAAGCAUGUUUAAAGAAGUCAGAGCUAGCAGUUAAUCACUGCACAGUAAUUACACAUUUUGGGGACAUGGAUAAAGAGACUUUGAGGAUUCCCUGGAGUUGUUUCCAGGUUCUGCUGAUAGACUGAAGCCCUGAGGUCUGGUGGUUUUGGCGUUGGGAACACGAGUAGUAGCGGGGCCUCGGUUUGCAUCAGCAGCAGCAGUGACGGCAGCAGUAGCGGCGGCUUUGGCGGCAUUGGCGGCGGCAGCGGUCUGGAUGAUUUCCGGUUUCGAUGGCGUGGGUUUCGGAGGCGUGGGUUUUUUAGCUGGCAGCGGAGGAUUCGCAGCUCCUAUGUGUCCUGGCCAUAUUCCUGCAUCUUGGCUCUUUACCUCUGCGGCACAGGCGAAGCUUAAGAGGAUUAUUAGUAGUUGCCACCAUCCAGUUGUUGUCUUCAUUUUGGCUGGGUGUCUUCUUGACGUGGGAGGCGUGUAUCCAAGCAGCGAUCCCAUCCACCUUUACUGCCAUGGGGGUGGUCAGCAACACCAGAUAUGGUCCUUUCCACCGAGGCUCCAAGGUGCCAGCUCGAUGUCGUCUGACUAAGACCGAAUCUCCAACCUGGAACCUGUGGGGCACCUCUGAAGUUCCCGGAUCACUCGCCCAUCCAUAGUCCGCGCUACCCCAUCAAAGCUGAAUUCUUGAGCUUGUUUUCUGCAAACCAUAUCUUCUAAUAUUUUAAAAUCAUUGGCUGAAUAAAUGUGGUUAGAGUCAUCAGUAACUGGAGUUUUUACUGGAGUCUGACUCUUUUCUGCUAAUAUUGUUACCUGUUGGGCCACCUGUUUUGCCACGAGGUCCGCCAUUUGGUUCCCUUUUGUUAUAGGAUCUUCUCCUUUUUGGUGACCUGGACAGUG